rnacentral:rRNA from 1 species
UUCGACCUCAAAUCAGGUAGGACUACCCGCUGAACUUAAGCAUAUCAAUAAGCGGAGGAAAAGAAACCAACAGGGAUUGCCUUAGUASCGGCGAGUGAAGCGGCAAAAGCUCAAAUUUGAAAUCUGGCACUUUCAGUGUCCGAGUUGUAAUUUGAAGAAGGUAUCUUUGGGUCUGGCUCUUGUCUAUGUUUCAANGUAAACCCCC